rnacentral:lncRNA from 1 species
ACAAUGUAUUGUCUCUAAGCUUUGAAGAAUUGCCAAGUUAUUUGAAGCAUUGUUUCCUCUACUUGGCCCAUUUUCCAGAAGAUUAUGAGAUAAAGGUAGAGAACUUGUCAUAUUACUGGGCUGCAGAAGGAAUAUUCCAACCUAGGCAUUACGAUGGAGAGACCAUUCGAGAUGUUGGAGAUGUCUACAUAGAGGAGCUGGUGAGGAGGAAUAUGGUCAUUUCCGAAAGAGAUGUAAAGACUUCGAGAUUUGAAACUUGUCAUUUGCAUGACAUGAUGAGAGAAGUUUGUUUGUUAAAAGCUAAAGAAGAAAACUUCCUACAAAUUACCAGUAGCCGCCCUUCAACUGCAAACUUGCAGUCUACUGUCACAUCUCGCAGGUUUGUCUACCAAUAUCCUACUACUUUACAUGUUGAGAAAGAUAUAAACAAUCCAAAACUUCGAGCUCUCGUGGUUGUUACCUUGGGAAGUUGGAACCUGGCAGGUUCAAGCUUUACAAGGUUAGAACUUCUGAGGGUGUUAGAUCUUAUUGAAGUGAAGAUUAAAGGAGGGAAGUUAGCUUCUUGCAUUGGAAAGCUCAUCCACUUAAGAUACUUGAGCUUAGAGUAUGCAGAGGUAACUCAUAUACCUUACUCACUAGGAAAUCUGAAGUUGUUGAUCUAUCUGAAUUUAGCUUCAUUCGGAAGAUCUACAUUUGUGCCCAAUGUCUUGAUGGGGAUGCAAGAACUGAGAUACCUUGCGUUACCAUCUGAUAUGGGGAGGAAGACAAAACUAGAAUUGAGUAAUCUAGUAAAAUUGGAGACUUUAGAGAAUUUCUCAACAGAGAAUAGCAGCUUGGAGGAUCUUUGUGGUAUGGUCAGGCUGAGCACGCUCAACAUCAAAUUAAUUGAGGAGACGAGUCUAGAAACUCUAGCUGCAUCUAUAGGUGGAUUGAAAUACCUGGAAAAACUUGAAAUAUAUGAUCACGGUUCUGAGAUGAGGACGAAGGAAGCGGGAAUCGUAUUUGAUUUCGUUCAUCUCAAAAGGCUAUGGUUGAAACUGUAUAUGCCUAGGCUUUCUACAGAACAACACUUCCCUUCUCACCUUACAACCUUAUAUCUAGAAAGUUGUCGGUUGGAAGAGGAUCCCAUGCCGAUUCUAGAGAAGUUGCUACAGUUGAAAGAGCUUGAAUUAGGGUUUGAAUCUUUCAGUGGAAAGAAAAUGGUUUGCUCGAGCGGUGGGUUUCCUCAAUUGCAAAGGCUUUCAUUACUGAAACUAGAGGAAUGGGAAGAUUGGAAAGUAGAAGAAAGCUCCAUGCCACUUCUUCGUACUCUCGAUAUUCAGGUAUGUCGAAAAUUAAAGCAGCUUCCUGAUGAACACCUUCCUUCUCACCUUACAUCCAUAUCUCUAUUUUUUUGUUGUUUGGAGAAAGAUCCAUUGCCGACUCUAGGGAGAUUGGUUUACUUGAAAGAGCUUCAAUUAGGGUUUAGAACUUUCAGUGGGAGGAUAAUGGUUUGCUCGGGCGGUGGGUUUCCUCAAUUGCAGAAGCUUUCAAUAUAUCGGCUAGAGGAAUGGGAAGAGUGGAUAGUAGAACAAGGCUCUAUGCCCUUUCUUCAUACUCUCUAUAUCGAUGAUUGUCCAAAGUUAAAGAAGCUUCCGGAUGGGCUGCAAUUUAUCUAUUCAUUAAAGAAUUUGAAGAUAUCAGAAAGAUGGAAGGAGAGAUUGUCGGAAGGAGGAGAAGAAUAUUACAAAGUCCAACACAUUCCUUCUGUUGAAUUCUACCAUAGGGUGUUGCAUAUCUUUAGGAGCGUCGGAGGUGAUAUAACUGGGAGACUCUUGAUGAGAUGAGAUGUUGGCCUAUCUGGAAUUCUUCCCAGUUGGGAGACCAACGGAGAUUAACACCGUCAACAACGCACCUACGACCCAUCUCAAGAGCUUGGACACGAGGGAGAAGGUUGUUGCCUGGAUCAAACAGUGGUGCAUCCAAAACGCAAGCCAUGUAGAUUUUUGUUUCGGGUUCUACAUGGCCAUGGCGAAGAAGGGUGACCAGUUGGAAGGUGCAUACACCCUAAAGACGUCCUACGCUUUGAGGGAACUCAGAAGACACAAUUUGAACUUUUUUCUUUAGCACUCAUAGAAGAAGAGCAAAGAGACCAAACGGAUAAUAUGAAGUCUUUACCAUCCUUAAGUGAUGUUGGUAGUGUUGUAUUUGCCAUUAUUGGCACAAGAGCUGAUCUUGCUUGGUUUGUGGGAGUGACAUGUCGUCCCAUGAUAUGUUGUCUAUCAGCUUCAGUAUAUGUUGCUUAUGUAACAGUUUUUCUAUAAUAACUUUGUGUACCAUAUUUGAAAUCAAUGAAGUAAUAUCUUUGAUAAAAGGCGAAAUGGAGAUCUUCCACGGCCACUCAUAUCCACCAUAGACAGAACGGUCAGAAAUAGAAUCUCAUUUAUGUAACAACUUGAUUCGAGGAAGCUUGAUGAUGGCCUCCACAUCUGCUUCCAAGCUCGGCCAUAACAAGUAGAGAAGCUCUGCUUUUUCUCUCUCUGUCACUCUGUUUUAAGUUCAAAACUCUCUAAAUAAGGAUGCAUUCUUUGGAACAAAGGCUUUUGUAUUUGUUUUUUUGAAAAAUAAAAAGGAGGAAGAAGUUAUCAAACAACAACAACAAAGGCUUUUGUUUGAAUAUAUUUUACAUUUAUGUACAAAAAGAAAGACAAAGAAAAAAAGUCAAAGAAGAAAGUAUCACAAUCAUGGAAGCAAAGAAAUAAAGAAAAAGAAUUCGAAGAAACAGAAAUACACUUUUUGCUGAAACAGAAAAACAGAAGAGAAAAUAAUCAAUUGCAUGACAUGAAAUUUUAAACAUACUAUAUGAUAAGAAAAAACAUAUAAAAUACAGAUUUGUAAAUCAUAAAUAUAUUAAAAGCAAUUACUCUGUUAAAAAUUCACCAACCAAAAAAAUCAUCAACUAACCAAACGCUGUCACGACCGGGAAUCUUUAAAUUAUUAUUUCAGAACCGGUUUUUCAAUUAAUUUACAGUUUAAAUUUAUUUUUAAUAGUUUUUAAUUAAGUUAAUAGCCCUCUUUAAAAUACACUAUUGGACCCCACAAAAAAAAUACAUCCUUGGAAGUGGUCUUAGUUUUAUCAUCUAAAAGAUAUGAAUUUGAUUUUGUAAAGGUUACAAUUAUUUCCAAGAAAUGUAUCAUAGACAAGUUGGAGGAAGAAGACGAAACGAAUCAGGUAAAUUGAAAUUAAGAAAGCUAUUAAGGUAAAAUUAAAAAAUGGGUAGAUUAGAAGUAGUUGUCUUUUCAUAAAACCCAAUAGUACUUGAAAUUGUUAGUAUAAGAAAUAUUCCAAGCUAUAACAUUAUUAUUAUAAGAGACCCUUAUUAAUAAUUUGGUAGCACGAUGACUCCAAAAGGAGUUUAUUGUUUAAAGAAAGACGAAAACAUGGAGAGUUGUUGACGCAGAGAGUUACUUAGAUGCUUCACCCAAGAAGAGUCCUCAUAAUCAUAAAAUCAAAGCAUCUCUCUUCUUCCUAAACGUCGACGAUCGAGAGGAGAGUUCUUGGCGCCAUCAAGAUUCAAAAGGUUAGUCAUUUUAUUUUCUUCCCUUAAUUCUUAGCAUGUGUCUUUGUUUACGGUGAAUUGAGUGAUAAUGGGGACGUGAGGCAUCUCAUAGUUCACAAGUUCCGCCUUAGCUUAACCAAGCCUGACUACUCUUAACUAAAGUUCUUCAACUAUACCAUAUUUCCUUGAACACAUCCAAGUCUAGUAAGUUUCUGUUAAAUUCCUAACACUAUAGAUUUAUAGUUCUUCGAUGCCAUUUGUAACUACAUAGCAGUAGGCAGUAGCUUCUUUUUGAGUUAUUGCAAUUUCUUAAUCAUUUUUAUAUUGGCUAGUUACAUUGUUUUAGAAAUCGAAGUUUGUUUACCUACCUUGUUUACGAUUUGGUCAUUGCUCAAGAUUUACGUUUUGAUGCUAUGUACAAUCAGCACUGUGUACAAUACGUUCUAAUUGUUAAUAUUUUGUGUUGUUGGGUGUUGUGUUCAGAUGGAGGAGAUUGUUUUUGAAACAAAAGAUGCACUUGAUUGGUCAUAUAGAAGCGAAGGAGUUGUGAAUUUGGUUCUCGCUUACUCUGGAUCCUCUCCCACUUUCGUUAGUCUCAUCUCUUUUUCUUAUUUUUAGAUAUUAAAUCUUUGCUUUUGUUGAAUUGUUUCAUUUUCGGUAGGUACAUUUCAUUGAUCUUGAUAUGAGACCUUUGGAGAGAAUGGAAGCCUAUUACGAAUCAGACAAGAAGAUCAUGAAAACGUACCUGGAGAUGCUGAAGAAGAAAGGGGAUCGAUCAACCUAGAUUCUUCUAGAACUAUGCAACCUCUAACAGUUUCCUACAAUUUUCACUUGUAUCAAUUCAUAAGAUUCCCUUUACUUGAUAUGUUUCCUAGACUAAAAUAAAUAUAAAUGUUAAUUAUUUAUGUACAGUUAAAUGUAAAGUUCUCAGUAUCCCUCACUUAAGAAUCUAGUUGUUGCAUUAGAUUAAUACAUGGGAUGUGGCUGCAAAGGGGUAUACAGUAGAAAACCAAGUUUCAAAGUUAGCCUGAUGGUUAAAUAUCACUUGAAAAUCAGGGAUGUGGAGGAUGGGAAACAUCAGAGAAGGGCUGGUGCAAGUUUCUAAAGUUGAUACAGUGAGCAAUUUCCAAAAUGUAUCGGAGAUGCUCAAGUCUACCAAGAACUGAAAAAAGUAAGCGUGAAUCCACGAACUAAAAUCUUAAACUCAAAGCCAAGGUGGACACUCAUAGAGAGUUUGUCUAUCGGUUUCAAUAUAUUUUGCUUACGUAAUAGUUUGCAUUCCAAAAGUUUCUAUAAUAACUUUGUACACCUGAAUCGAUAUAAUUCGAUUUUUAUAAUCAACAUUAAUAAAAACAAAUUUCCUGAAAUACAUAAUUUUGAGUUUGGAGAAAUUUUGAUAAUUUUUGAUGACCGUGUCUCUAUAUCACAACCUUUUCUUUUUACAUUUUCAGGAGAACAAUUUCUAUGUUUUAUUCAAAACUAGUUGACAUCUUAUAUAAUAAGAGAAGGUUUUUUCCUAACUUUUCCUAACAUUGCUACAUUUGGCACUUUAUUUUGGUGACACUUGUCUUCUUCCAUUUAUUACUUUGUUUCUUCCAAUUUAUAUCUUCUUUUUAGUAUUUAAUUCCAAAAAAUCAUAUUUAUCCAUUUCGGAUAUAUUUUUAAAUUGAUUUUUGUCUUCUAAUAUUUUUAGUUAAAAAUAAUAUCUUCUUAUUAUCACAUAUGAAUUAGUAAAAUUUUAAAUCCUCACAACAUUAGUACACUUGGCCUAUUUUAUAAUUAAUCUUUUUCCUAAUUUUUCUAUCUUACAUAUUAUUUAAAGAUUCAUAUAAAAGACAUCUCUAAUUUUUUCUAAUUUCUCUCUUGAAAUUUGUCUCAACUUUUCUUUCAAAUUAAACGUAUUCUUAUAUUCAUAAUUCUAACUUAUUUGCUAAUCAAACAAUUGCAAUUUAAUUGGACAUUAAGUGUAUUGAUUGCAUUAUUCUUCAUUGUCCGUUACUUUAGAAGGAGUAAUUGUUUUCAUUUUCCCAUUUACUUCCACCACUAUUAAUAUGGUACAUAGUAUGAGACUUGAGUUGAGAGUGGAAAAUCUUAUUAUUUAUAAUAUUCAUUUGUAUAAAUUAUAAUUUGUAUUUCGAUAAGUAUAAGGUAUGUAAGAAAGUUUCUUUCUCCGGAUUCAGUUAUUUCAAUAUUUUAGAGAUUGGAAGGUUUUCUGCUUAUGGGUUUGUUUUCUUGGUGACUUUUCUAAGGUUCUCUAACAUCAAAAUGUUAAUGCCAACUUUUUCGAUUCAAAAUUUAUUGGAAAUAAGAAUCUUUUUGACCAGUUUGUUUGGUAGCUAAAGAUAGAUGGAAGUUCUUGAGCACAAAGCUUAUAAAAGAAUGACAUUAUAUUUCUAGGGUAGUUUUAUCAAAAAAAAAAAUCUUUGCAUUUGCAUCAAACCUAUGGUUAAACUUUGGUUAGGCUUUCUACACCCAAAAGCGUCACUCUUUUAGUUUCCUUGCGAGCGAAAAAAUGGAAGGAAGCUCAUGGGAAACCGGAACCAAAUUCGCUGGAACAAAACAACAUCAAAAUAAAUCUUUCAUCUCCAUCAAACAUUGUCUGCUCCAUCAAUCAUUUCUGUAAUUUUUAUAAUUUAUUGAGAUUUUGAAUAGUAAAGUUAUGAUGUAAUCUUUUAUUAUUAUUAUUACUAAAUGAAUACCCACGCUAUGCGUGGGUUUGUUUUGAAAAUAGUAUUUAUAUUGAUUGUUUUUUUUUGCUAAUUUAUGUUUAUUCUUUGUUUAUUAUUGUAUUGUUAAUAAAAUUAGAUCCAUAAAUAUGUAAUUACAAUUUUUAUGGUUAGAUUCAUUUGUAACUCAAAAUAUCAAUUUACAUAUUUUCAUGUAAAAAGCUGAUUAUUUAUAAGAUUUUAAUAUAUUUUCACUAUCAUGAAUACAUAUAAUAACAAUAUAUGAUAUUUUGAUACAAAUAUGUGUAAUUAUGUUACUUGUGUGGUUUAAAAUUUGCCUAACUCGAUUAUGAAUAAACCAAUUUCUUGUUUUAUGUACUUCAACAAAUUGUGAUAAGCUCAUGUUAAAGUUUGGAUUGACAUCAACUCAACAAAAUCUCAAAAGUAUUCGCAUGAUUGAAUGUCAUUUAAGUCAACACUUUUGAAUCUUCUAGCAUUGCAUAUAUCAAUAUUAGAGAAAUGAUCGUCUUUUAAUUCAAUUAAGAGUAGGAAUGAUGAUACAUUUAAUUUACUUAUUUAAUUUUAUUAAUUUUUUAAUUUAAAAAAUAUUGAAUGACAAAUGUGAUUUUCUUGUGUGAUGAUGUGUCAUUCAUAUGGAGAGAGUUGACCAACUUUCAUAUAUAUGAUUUAUAUAGUGAACGUGGAUGAGGUAAAAUCAAAGAGUAUUGAUGUUAUCAUCUUAUUUGCGAGACAAGUAUAGUUGUUUCAAUGUGAGGUCGGUUAUAGUUACAAUAUCCUUCUCACAUUGUCACGUAAGUGUGAUCAUUUUGUUUCACUUACACUAGCUUUCUCACAUUGUUACAUGAGAAAUUAUCAUUUCAGGUUCAUAAGACAUUCAACAGUUGUGUAGUAAAUCAAACUUAAUGAUAAACUUCCUCAACAGUUUUACCAUAGACUCUUUAGUUUUACAUGUUCACAAGAUAUGAUUUUCUAAAUUUAUUUUGGUUACCCGUUAUAUGAUGAUAUAGUUGAAACACGCAAGAUUAUAAUAUUUUUCUUUCACUUGGAAUGAAUAUUAAUUCUUCACGUAAACUAUAGAGAUCACAUGUUCUGAGAUUAGUAUAAAUGUGAAACCUUUACUAUAUCAAGAUUGAUUUUUUUUAUAAAAAAAUUUACUCUUUCGUUUGGUUAAAGUUAUGGCGCUACAUAAUCUACGUAACUUGUGUUUUGUUUUGGUAUUUUAAGAGAUAACAUUUGUUCGUUUGGAUGUCAUGGAAGAUUUUAGUUUUGUUUUAUCUUUUGUUUUGUAGAGUUCUUCUCGCUGAUCAUAUGAACUAACAGUUCUCCGUUUUAACAAUGAAGCUGUGAGAAACAGAGAAAGAGGGAAACAUAGAAGUACAAGGAAUGUCAAUUUUCCAACAAAUUUUAUUACCAUUGCGAGUGGUAAAUUUUCUGUCUAUUACCAUUUUCAAAGUUUCAAGGGUUGAAUUGAAUUCAUACGAUGUUUAGUUAACGUAUACAAGUGGCCCGUCCAAAAUAUUUGGAGGUCAAAGCAACAAUUUGUUUUUUUUUGGGUUAUUAUAAAACUUUGGGGACUUUUGAAACUAAAUAAUUUUGAGGCCUAUUUUCAAAUAUUUUUGCUGUAAAAAAAUUGGAAGUCACAUACCAUUGCUUCAUAUUGCUGUCCUCAAUGACGGCCCUGUGUAUACAUCAAAUAAUCAUCAACUUUUCGUGAGAAUCUUUAAUAGUAGUUUAAUUUAUCUUUCUUGAUAAUUUUGAUAUACACAUUUUUUUGUUAGCUCAGUUUUUUGUUGCAUGCAUGUUACCAUGUUUAUAUACACGCAUAUGAGGUAUGAUAUUCAACUAUUCAAAUCAAAGCUUAUACGUAUCAGAAGUUUAUUUGUUCUUCAUACAAUAUUGUUAUUUCAAGCUCCGAUCCAAUGAUUAUUUAUCUCUCUAAGUUUUUAUUGUCUAGGAAGUGUCCUCAGUCUAAGUUUUUGGAACCAAUGAUAAGUGUCUACUAUUUAUUUGACGUUUUCAUUUUAUAAAAUCUAUUUUGUUCAUCCCAACUUAUGUCUUUAGUUUUUGUUUUAUUUGUAGGGUUUGAUUCAAAUUUUUGGGACGAACAUACUCUACACUUAGAUGUAAUCCAAGAUCAUGGCAGUGAUAUUAGGAAACUUUUUGGAGAAGGAUGUGAUAAUACCAAAGCGAGAAGUAAUGAAAUGGAAAUCAAAGAGACAAAAUUGUUCGAGGAUAUGUGCAACAUUACAACGAUUUAGUAACACUUACAAACUUAAAGUUUAGUUUUAUUUCUCUGAUUUGAUUUGAAAAGGCUUUAGAGAUUGAUCAGAAUUCUUCAAAAGAAUUGUGGAAAAUAGCUCCUUAGUAUUUACCAAAAGUUUUGUCCCACAAAAAAAAAAAAACUCAUCAAAAUUCAUGUCUUUCUCAUAUAAAAAACUUAAAGUUGGUUGUAAAAAACUCAAACAUAAGUUCUUAGUUAAGACCAAAAAAGUUUUCUUAGAUCUCACAAAAAAGACCAAAAGUAAUUCAACUGAUGAAUUUAGAUAAAGUAAUUUGUCUUCUAAACCCAAGGCAUGUGUUCAUAAUUGACAUUAGGAUGAUUUUACGUCAUAUUUUGCUUAUUAUGCUUCAUAUGUUUAAUGGCUUACUUAUUUUAUAAUGAAGCAAGUAGAGAUUAACCAGACUAAACCAAGACUACAGUUCGAUAGAAAUGACAUGGAUGACGUGGUAUAGAGCCUAUAAUGAGCAUCGAGCUUAUACAAUGAUAUGCAUUCAUGUGUUAAUAUUUUCUUCAAGUUGUUAUAUUGUAACAUUUUAAUUUACAUUGAAUCAAAGAAAGACAAAACCCAUAAACACUAAUACGUAUCAAAUCAUUACAAAACAGGCAUAAUUAAUGGGAUUGGCAAAAUUAAUGGAAUUAUACAAUCAAUACCAAAUCAGAGGCGUUUUGAAAUUGAACUAAUCACCCACACCGUUAAGAAAACAACGUUGUUUUGUAAGCCUACAAUUAUUUAUAAGAAUUUUGAGAUUAUUCAUAGUUUAAGGUUAUUCAUGGAGAUUUUAGUCAUAUUUUAUUAUAUUAAACUACAAUUUUGAGAUGAAAUUUUUUUUAGCAUAAUUGUAAUUCAUUUAACUAAUUACAAAAUCAAAUUUUCAAUUUUGACAUCAUAUUAUGUUUUAGAUUACACGGUAAUAGUUCACUACUACAAUAAUUUUCCAAUUUUACAAGAAUUUUUUCCAUCUUUAUUUUUUAUACCAUAAUUUUAACUCCUUCAAUUAAGUAUAUUAAUUAAUUAAAAACUAGAUAUAUUUAUAUAUUUUAUUAUAUUAAAUUUACCCACGCGUCGGGGCUAACAUGAGGACGUAAACUCUUUGUAUUAUAUUAUCUUGAUGUAAAUAAUACCUUUUUUUUAUUUGUCAAUACUCUGUUUCUCCUUCUAGAAACUUUCCUUUAUACUGUUUGUGUAUUUUGUUGACCACAAAAACUCGAGGACUAAGACUAAGUAAGAUAGGAAAUGGGUGGAUACAAAGAAGUUGUCCUUUUAAGAAAUCCAUCACGAGGAGUUGGAAAGUCUGAACCAGAGACUUUCGUGUGCUUAUCCAAAGACGACGAGAGGAGUCCCAAGAAGUCUAGCGGUAUCAAUCAAAUCUCUUCUUACUAGAGGAGAUUCCUUGGAACCAUCAAGAGGUUAGUCCAUUUUCUUAGCAAAUUUCUUUGUUUACGGUGAAAGAUAUCUCUAUUUGUUUCUCUAAAUCUUUCGAGUAGUAACAGUUAAACUUUGUCCAUAUCCUGGAUAGACCUAGGUGUGUCAAGACUCAAGAGACAAAGCUUGAAUAUAUUUUUCUAACUGAUUAGAUAUCACUAUUAAUGAUAAUGCAUGAUCAUCAAUAUUUCGUAGCUUGAUUCAUAUUUUCAUAUAUACUACUUACUUAAGCAGGAAGCAUUAUGGCUGGGGAACUUAUUUCGUUUGGUAUACAAAACCUGUGGAACCUACUGAGUCAAGAAUGCGAGCUAUUUCAGGGAGUCGAAGAUCAAGUAACUGAACUAAAAAGGGAUCUAAACUUGUUAAGCUCUUUUCUGAAAGAUGCAGAUGCAAAGAAACAUACAAGUGCGGUGGUGAAAAACUGUGUUGAAGAGAUCAAGGAAAUUAUCUAUGAUGGAGAGGAUACAAUCGAAACAUUUGUUCUUGAGCAAAACCUGGGAAAAACAAGUGGUAUCAAGAAGAGUAUCAGAAGACUUGCUUGCAUUAUUCCAGAUCGAAGGAGAUAUGCAUUAGGUAUCGGAGGCUUAAGUAAUAGGAUCUCCAAGGUGAUCCGAGAUAUGCAGAGUUUUGGAGUGCAACAAGCUAUCGUUGAUGGUGGGUAUAAGCAACCUCAAGGUGAUAAACAAAGGGAGAUGCGACCAAGAUUUUCUAAGGACGACGAUAGCGAUUUUGUGGGGUUGGAAGCAAAUGUUAAGAAAUUGGUUGGAUAUUUGGUGGACGAAGCAAACGUUCAAGUGGUUUCCAUAACCGGGAUGGGUGGUCUAGGUAAAACCACACUUGCUAAACAGGUUUUUAACCAUGAGGAUGUUAAACAUCAGUUUGAUGGGCUCUCAUGGGUGUGUGUUUCACAAGAUUUUACCCGAAUGAAUGUAUGGCAAAAGAUCUUGAGGGACCUCAAACCCAAAGAGGAAGAAAAGAAAAUCAUGGAGAUGACACAAGAUACACUCCAAGGUGAACUAAUUCGAUUGUUGGAAACGUCUAAGUCAUUAAUUGUCCUCGAUGACAUAUGGGAAAAAGAAGAUUGGGAACUAAUCAAGCCAAUAUUUCCACCGACCAAAGGUUACCUCUUAUGGUACACACACUAGCCAGUGGUCAUACUCAAUAAACUAGCUAACUCUUUGUGUUUGUUUUUGACAGGUUGGAAAGUGUUGCUUACUUCUCGAAACGAGAGUGUCGCCAUGCGUAGAAAUACAUCAUAUAUCAACUUUAAACCAGAAUGCCUAACCACUGAAGACAGUUGGACACUUUUUCAGAGGAUAGCCCUUCCUAUGAAAGAUGCAGCUGGUACUUUUAAUGCAUCUCUAUCUUGUUAGUAUCUUGGUUUUGUAGUCUACUUGUAAAACGAUUUUGACAUAUUGAUAACGUUGUGCAGAAUUUAAGAUUGAUGAGGAAAAGGAAGAGUUGGGUAAGCUAAUGAUCAAACACUGUGGAGGGUUACCAUUGGCCAUCAGAGUGUUAGGAGGUAUGUUAGCUGAAAAAUACACAUCGCAUGAUUGGAGAAGAUUAUCUGAGAAUAUUGGAUCUCAUCUCGUGGGAGGAAGAACUAACUUUAAUGACGACAACAACAAUACAUGUAACUAUGUAUUGUCUCUAAGCUUUGAAGAAUUGCCAAGUUAUUUGAAGCAUUGUUUCCUCUACUUGGCCCAUUUUCCAGAUGAUUAUGAGAUAAACGUAAAGAAUUUGUCAUAUUACUGGGCUGCAGAAGGAAUAUUCCAACCUAGGCAUUACGAUGGAGAAAUCAUUCGAGAUGUUGGAGAUGUCUACAUAGAGGAGCUGGUGAGGAGGAAUAUGGUCAUUUCCGAAAGAGAUGUAAAGACUUCGAGAUUUGAAACUUGUCAUUUGCAUGACAUGAUGAGA